rfam:Ovis aries breed Texel chromosome 3, whole genome shotgun sequence.
UCCCUGGUGGCUCAGAGGGUAAAGCAUCUGCCUGCAAUGCAGGAGUCCCAGGUUCGAUUCCUGGGUUGUGAA